UUUCAUCAUUAUGUCUUCAUCACCUAGCACAGUUCCUGGCAUUUAAUAGGUGGUCAAUAAGUAUUUGCUGAGUGAAUAAAUAAGUGAACAGGAAAAUGAGCAAUUUUGCUCCCUAUUCCACUCAUUGGCUCUAAGAUGAACCUCAGCUCAGCCUCAUCUCUAGUGUGCUUUGAGAUCCUCUGGUGAAAUGAGAUGGCCAGAAAAUGCAAGGUUGUUAAACAUCAGAAAGUUGCAAGACCAGUUUGGUCAGGAGGAAUAAUAAUCAGUAUAACCAGCACGUAUUGAGAUAUUAGCAUGUGCUGGGCAUUGCUCUAGGCUUUUUUCUCAUUUAAUCUCCACAGUAACCUUAUAAGGUAUUUCCUAGUAUAGAAUUAUCCACAUUUGAUGAUGAGCAAACUGAAACCCAGGUGAUUCAGUGACUUGGAUGCAGACACAGGCAGUUCGAUUCAAAGCUUUCUUUUGUGUUGUGUGAGAAUGAGAACAGUCUCAUUUCCACUGAUUUCUUUUUCAAACCACCCUAGGAUUAUCCCUCUACCCCCUGGCUUCUCUUCAAUCUCAUAAUCUUGAAUCCAGCCCUGAGGAGCAGGUAGAAAAGAGCCAUGUACUACAUUGGUAAGCUGCAGUGAGUGUAGGUCUAGUUAGUGUCCCCAUAGGGUAGCAGCUACUUUGAUGAUUGACAAUAUAAAUUUAAAAGCUGAGAUAUCCUGUACUAUCUUGAUACUGAAAUCAAUAAAACCAUCAAAUCCUAAGCCAGCCUCACCAAACUAAAAGGGAGUUGCAACCACAAAGCAAAUUUAACACCUCUUGGAAUCUUUCUGACAUCACAUGAAGCACUACCUCUGAGGUGAGAAUGGCAUUAGCUUGAAGCUCUACAGGGCUGAAACCUUAGCUAUUACAGGGCUGGAUUGUAUCUGCCACCUUCACAUGGGAAGAGAAAUUGACAUGGGGGGAAGAGACAACUGACUAGGCAGUCUUUGCAGCUCUGACUGUGCAUAAAGAGAAUGAAAAAAUAAAAGAAGAGAGGGAAAACACAGCAUAAUCCUCAUUGUUAAGAUGUUAUCAUGCUCAUGGGCAUAACAGAAAUUACUGUUCUUCAUCUCACCUUAUGAUUCCCUUUAACAAAAGACAACCAUUGAAAACACAAUUUGAGGCCAGUUUACCCCUUCAUGCUCAGAGCCUGAAUCACAAAUUCAUGGGCUGUAUUAAAUGCUUUCCCCACUUAUUUUAUCAGAUUCUUAGAACCAGAGAAGGAACCUAAUAGAAUAUCUGGUUCAACUCAUUCACAUUUUCUAGAUAGGGAGACUGAGGCCAAAAGAAAGGGGUCUUGAUUUCAUUUUCACCAAGUGUACGCGUGUGUGUGUGUGUGUGUGUGUGUAUGUGUGUGUCCAUUCGUGUGUUGCAUGAGUGGGAGGUUUGCUUCAGGAGCUGUUAAGGGGAGAGAUGGAAAGUUCUGUAUUCUAAAAGGAAAGGGGUGAAAAAUGUUAGAAUCAAUACAGUGUUUGGUAAAUAACUAGUAAUUUGUCACAUAAACAUAUACACACUACAAACACCACUGUCUGUGGCAGAAACAGAGGGAUGUUCUCAACAGAGGGAGGGUCUCAGCCAAGAAGGAUAAAUGAGGGCCAUUCAUCCUUUCAGACCCUUUCUGCCAUUGGCAAAGAUUGGUCCAGUCCACUGCCUAGGUUUUCUGUGGGCUCUCAACAUUUUGCUCAGCAGAGACUUCCCAAGGCUGCUUCACUAGUGGCUGGUGGCAUUUAACCUCUGUGGGAGGGAUGGAGCUUUUUCUUUUCAUCAUGGAAUCCAUUAUUUUUCUUUGAAGCAUAGUGCAAAGCUUCUUACAAAUUGCAUGGCAAAAAUAGAAAUGCAGCCAGUUCUCAGCACAGCCUUGUGGAAGUCGGGGCAACCUGUCCCUCAGGCAGUGUGGAUGGAGAGUGUGUUCAUUUCUGAACUUGAUGGUAAAUCCUAUGGGGAAGGAGGCAGAAAGCAACCCAUCCCUUCCUCUUCUCCCUUAAAGGGAACUAGACCUAAAAUGUGUUGGAGCUGUGAGCCCUGGAGAAAGCCAGCCCAAUUGCAGUAUUAGACCCCGCCAGAGGGAGUCAGAGUGUGGCAGCUUGGCUGUGAACUUGCCGUGAGACCUGGAGUAAGUUGCUUCCCCUCUUUGGGUCUCUGUUUUUUCAUUUAACCCUCAUGCUUCACAGAAUGAUUGAAAGGUACAAAUGUAGAGAAAAUAGACCCACAUAUGCUUUGGAAACAGUAAAAACCUGAUAUUAGUAC
rnacentral:lncRNA from 10 species